rnacentral:rRNA from 1 species
AGAGUUUGAUCCUGGCUCAGGAUGAACGCUGGCGGUGCGCCUAACACAUGCAAGUCUUAAGUUAAUGUAUUUAUAUGUUGGCUUGGCAAACGGGUGAGUAGUACUUUGGUAAUCCAACCUCGACUCAAGUAUAACCCAGAGAAAUUUGGGACAAUCCUUGAUAGAAUUGGGGGGAUAUAUAUCAUUCCCAUUUAAAGAUUCGUCGGUCGGGGAGGAGCCUAAGGCCUAUCAGCUUGUUGGUAGUGUAAUAGACUACCAAGGCUAUGACGGGUAGCUGGUCUGAGAGGACGAUCAGCCACAUCGGGACUGAGACACGGCCUGGACUCCUACGGGAGGCAGCAGUGAGGAAUUUUGCACAAUGGGCGAAAGCCUGAUGCAGCGACACCGCGUGACUGAAGAAGCCCUUCGGGGUGUAAAAGUCUUUUCUGAGGGACGAAAUUUUGACGGUACCUCAGGAAUAAGCCACGGCUAACCUCGUGCCAGCAGCCGCGGUAAGACGAGGGUGGCAAGCGUUAUCCGGAAUUAUUGGGCGUAAAGCGUCUGUAGGUGUCCUAGUAAGUUCUUCUGUGAAAUCCCAGUGCUCAACAUUGGGGCUGCAGGGAAUACUGCUAGGAUUGAGGAAGAUAGAGGUAAGCGGAAUUUCCGGUGUAGCAGUGAAAUGCGUUAAUAUCAGAAGGAACACCAAUAGCGAAGGCAGCUUGCUGGAUCUUUCCUGACACUGAGAGACGAAAGCGUGGGUAGCGAAUGGGAUUAGAUACCCCAGUAGUCCACGCUGUAAACGAUGGAUAUUAGGUAUUGGGAGAGUCGACCCUUUCAGUACCAAAGCUAACGCGUUAAAUAUCCCGCCUGGGAAGUACGGUCGCAAGACUAAAACUCAAAGGAAUUGACGGGGACCCGCACAAGCGGUGGAGCAUGUGGUUUAAUUCGACAAUAAGCGAAGAACCUUACCAGGGCUUGACUUCUAGGAAUCCUUCCGAAAGGAAGGAGUGCCUUCGGGAAUCUAGAAUCAGGUGCUGCAUGGCUGUCGUCAGUUCGUGUCGUGAGAUGUACGGUUAAGUCCGACAACGAGCGUAACCCUUGUUCUGUGUUGUAUUUUUCACAGAAGACUGCCGGCGUAUAGUCGGAGGAAGGUGGGGAUGACGUCAAGUCAGCAUGGCCCUUUGAUGCCCUGGGCGACACGCGUGCUACAAUGGCCAGUACAAUGGGACGCCAAGUCGUAAGACGGAGCUAAUCCCAUCAAAACUGGUCUCAGUUCGGAUUGAGGGCUGCAACUCGCCCUCAUGAAGUUGGAAUCGCUAGUAAUCGUGGGUCAGCCAUACCACGGUGAAUACGUUCUCGGGUCUUGUACACACCGCCCGUCAAGUCAAGCGAGUUGGUAACACCCGGCACUCCCCGAAAUACUUCGGGGGACUAAGGUGGGACCAGCGAGAGGGGCUAAGUCGUAACAAGGUAACCG